ensembl:lncRNA
GUGCUGUACACUCUUCCCUGGUAUCCAAGACUGGGCAGCAGCUGUAAUCAGUAGUGCUCACAAGGGUUUUGUUGUGUGGAGGCAAUAUCUUGACCCUUUUUCCCUUACUCCAGACAUGUGUACCUCUGUGCAUUGGCAUCUUUGCUCCUUUUGCUUUACAAAACCUAGGGUGCACUGUGUGCUAUAAGUGGGGUUGCUUUGGUUUUGUGUUAUUUAGGUUCUGAGCCACCACUGAUGUACUCUUCAGAUUUUUCUGUGAUGCAGAAACACAGCCAGAGUGAUACAGGGAGACUCACAAGUGUAACUGAGGUGUGUUGUGAUACUAAAAUGGCUAGUGUGUGACUAUAGCUUACUAGCUGUUCUUAUAACUACGCAUAAUAGAUUUCUCAGGUGGUGAUGAGAGGCAAAAAGAACACAACAGAGAGCCAGGCUGUUAGCUGAGGUCUGUCCCAGUGCCGUGGGUUACAGACUCCCAUCUGUGCCUUGUAAAAAGAGCCCAUUUAGUUGCAAAUCCCUUAAAGAAAAUAAAUAAGGUAACCUUUAGUUUUAGAAGUCAGCUUUCUGACAAUACUGCACUUACAGGACAUAAGAAAAAUAGUAAAGAUCAAUAAAGCUAAAAUAAUACAACAGGAUGAAGGUAAAGUAAGUGUUUUUAUGUUUUUUUACAAAUGAAUUUUCAUUACAGAGCAAAAGGAGACAUCCGGAAGAAAUUAUGUUCAAUUACUGUUCUAUAUUCUCAUAACAUCAGUAAAAGUUGUAAUUAUUAUUAUCUUGGUUGCACUGAUGUGGCAUUUUAGGAACUGCAAAGGCAGGUCAGUUUGGAUAAGAGUAUCCAGAGUACCAAGCUUUCAGAAUGUGAAUUCAAGCCUAACAGAUGAGACGGGUAAUCCUGAGAAAUCCGAAGAAAUGGAUAAAAACAGUCCUUGUUCACAAAAUGAUGAAAACUCUAGUGUGCAGGGACCAGAUGGUACAAACUCCACUGAGCAAAGAAGUGAAGGUUUGCUGAGCAGCAACAAAGAGGCUAACCCAGCAACAGAUGAAAGCUCCUGCACUGAGCAGGCUGCAUAUUUUCUUGUGUCCACAUUUCAAGCUGGACAAAGACUCGAAUUGCCACACCUCGAUGAUGUGAAAGCUGGAAAGCCUCCUGCUUCAGUUAGUGAAGUGUGUGCUGCCCCACACUUUGAGAACAUCCCUCCAGGAUCUGAGCACUGUGGUCCUCCAGAAUCUGAGGACUGCGUUCUUCCAGAAUUUGAUUACCCCCCUCCCCCAGUGUUUGAUGGUUGCCUUUCUCCAGAAUUUGAUCACUGCAGUCCUUCAGGAUCUGAGGAUUUGAAGGAAGAUGACUAUGUUGCUAUGCAUGAUGUAGUCUGUCUCUCCAGAAGCUAGAAAGGCAUGGGAAUGGAGUGAAGACAAGCUCACUCAGUAUGCUUCUAUCAAGUAGAAUGCAAGGGGACUCCCAGAGGAUGAGUCUGGAGACUCAAUCUCCAGUUCUUCCCAUUAGAUUUGCCAGGAAAGUUGUUUGCAGCAUUGGACUGAAAUUUGGACUCUCUUUCUCUCUCAGCUGGUUUUGAGCCAAACUUGAAAUUCUGCUGUUAGUUUCUCAUUCUGGUAAAUCUGAUUCUUCAUUCACUUUGAAGAUUUGGCUGGAAGCCUGAAGGGAAAUCUCUCUGUGGAUCAGUUUGUUUUCCACAGCUGGUGCCCGUCUCUUCCCUUUGUUUUGCUGAAGGUCUUCCAGGAUGACCCAUUAGGAGCCCCUUGGAAAGCAGACAGGGGAAUUAACCCUAAGAAAAGUUCAUCCCCAGCCUCUCAGCCUCUUGUUUGCUUCCACUAGGAGGUGUCAUUGUAGGAAAGAGAAGGGCCUCAGGGAUUUCUGGAGGCCAGAUCAAGGUCCUGACCUCUGUCCUUGUCUCCUGCUGUGUGGAAGAUGCACCUGAGUGAAUUGGUAGAUUAAAGCAUAAAUUUCCCUCUGCUGUUUGCUUAGAAGAAUGUGCUACUUAGGUGGAAGUCAGUUAAAACUAUAUUAUGAGAAGGGAACUGCACUGAAGAACAUGCUGGAAGUUUUACUUAGGGAACUGUUAUUUUAGAAGAAAAAAGGAAAAGUAAAGKAAAGAAACCAGAGCAUUGCUAGCAAAUGGGUUUAGCUGUAUAUGUAAUUGCCUUUAAUGAACAGCCUUGGUAAUUAGAUGCAUUUUCUGCAAUGCCUGUAUUAAACUUAGUUAUCUUAAAUGGUGUGUAAUUGUUUUCAUAGAUUGCUUUGAAAUCUUACAGAUUGCUUCUUUUAGGUUUG